CAUAAAAGGUCCUGCCUGCCCAGUGACCCUGUUCAACGGCCGCGGUAUUAUGACCGUGCAAAGGUAGCGUAAUCACUUGUCUUUUAAAUAAAGACCAGUAUGAACGGCAAAACGAGGGCCUAACUGUCUCACUAGACCCGUCAGUGAAAUUAAUAUUUCAGUGCAGAAGCUGAAAUACUUAUAUAAGACGAGAAGACCCUGUGGAGCUUUAAACCUAAGCUAAUAUAAAUUAUAUUAUAGCACCCGGUUUUAGGUUGGGGCGACCAUAAGAAAAAACAAACUCUUAAGACACCAACAAGAAGGACACUUCGAAUAAAUAGUAAUAUUAAGAUAUUGACCCAAUAUUUGAUCAACGAACCAAGUUACCCCAGGGAUAACAGCGCAAUCCACUCACAGAGCCCCUAUCGACGAGCGGGUUUACGACCUCGAUGUUGGAUCAGGACCACCUAAUGGUGCAACAACUAUUAAAGGUUCGUUUGUUCAACGAUUAAAGU
rnacentral:rRNA from 1 species